UCUUUUUGUUCCAGGUUCCCUCUGUUGUGCUUCAAUGCUCCUCUACAAGGCCAGGCUUUUUCCUUGUAGCCCAGUCUUUCAUUUUGCUCUCUCAGGCUGCAGUCUCCCAAGCUAUCGUCAGGAAGGAGAAAGAAGGGCAGUGACAAAAGCUGCUGUAAAAUGUUCCUGUCUGUUGUAUUUCAGCAGACAGUAAUGCUGUUUCCUUUGGAAAGAUGAGCAGAAAGUUACUGGUUUAUGCAGCAUUGGCCUCAAGACACAAUCCAGGAUGUGAUAUACUUAGAAGUCACAAGGAAUUUUACAAAUAAAUUUGGAGCUCAUUCUGGUAGCUAUCCAGCUUCUGAGUGCUUAAGUUUUCAGCUCCGAGGGCCUGUUCAGUGCUCCCUGGGCUGCUUCAUCCGAGAUGAGUGAAGCUGUUGCGUCCACGGCUGAGAAUUAGGACACAGAGAGUGCCCACACUGCUGAGCUCUCUGAACUGCUGCAAUGGAAAAUCUGGGGGUCCAUCCUUCCAGGGACCACAGGAUGUGUCCUCGGAGAUGAAUUGAAAUGCAAGGUGUGACUACCUUCUGUACUGACAGGUUUCUGCAAUUGUUUAUCAAGUGCCGGACUCGAGCUGCAGUUAGAAUUUAUUAGCUGAUAACUGUCCAAUUACUGGAAUAUAGCUAAUGAAGGAGAGAAAUGGCUCUGUUGCUAUCACUUCAUGUAAUUACACAACUUCCUGGUGCCUGUUGCUUUCCCCAAAUGGCUGUACAGCUGACAAAGACAUACUUUGUUGCUUGUAGCAGGAAUUAUUCCCUUGGACAAUAUUUUGAAGGAACAAAUACACCACAGAAUUACUGAAUUUUCAGCACAUUGAGACUGAACAAUGGCCAUUGCCAAGCACUCUCCUGAGUAUUACAGAGGAUAAACCAAGAAGAGAACAAGAAUCUGAGUGUUAUAAAUAUGAAGUAGCAGUUUAAUAUAGUGAGCACUUAGCACUUG